rnacentral:rRNA from 1 species
AUUGAACGCUGGCGGCAGGCCUAACACAUGCAAGUCGAACGGUAACAGGAAGCAGCUUGCUGCUUUGCUGACGAGUGGCGGACGGGUGAGUAAUGUCUGGGAAACUGCCUGAUGGAGGGGGAUAACUACUGGAAACGGUAGCUAAUACCGCAUAACGUCGCAAGACCAAAGAGGGGGACCUUAGGGCCUCUUGCCAUCGGAUGUGCCCAGAUGGGAUUAGCUAGUAGGUGGGGUAACGGCUCACCUAGGCGACGAUCCCUAGCUGGUCUGAGAGGAUGACCAGCCACACUGGAACUGAGACACGGUCCAGACUCCUACGGGAGGCAGCAGUGGGGAAUAUUGCACAAUGGGCGCAAGCCUGAUGCAGCCAUGCCGCGUGUAUGAAGAAGGCCUUCGGGUUGUAAAGUACUUUCAGCGGGGAGGAAGGGAGUAAAGUUAAUACCUUUGCUCAUUGACAUUACCCGCAGAAGAAGCACCGGCUAACUCCGUG